rnacentral:lncRNA from 1 species
UGGGAGGAGCUUGGAACUUAAAAGUUACAAAACUAAGGUUAUGUUUGUAUAUUUGUAUCGUCGUUGUCGUUUCAUUUCAUUUCAUUGUUUGUUUGUCCUAGUAUUUUGUUUUGGAUUCAUUUGGAUUUUGUUGGCUGUUUUGUGUGUAUUUUUUAAAACUUUUGUUUGUCAUUUGUAAGUUUUAUAAAUUUACCACAAUGCAAACCGCAGAUGUUUUAGAAAGAUAUUCAUUGAAGCUGAAAAUAAUUAGAGAUUUAGAUCCAUAUACAAUUCAGUCAUCAGAAUUGGAUUUUACAGUGCAUUCCAUCAAUUACCUACUGUUAUAAUGCUAUUCUAGAUAGACUGGUACAGUCUCACACAUCAGAUGAAAGCAUACAAAAGCCUUCAGGCACAUAAAAGUCUUCACAACCAAUUCACAACUGGAUUUGUUUUGAAACAUUUGAUGUUUUGAUGAUUUCUAUAUUAUUGUUGAAAAGGUGAAGAAUUCCCAAAAAUCUAAAGCUAAACCACUAGAUGCUUGGGUGAUAGCCAGUUCCAAUGGCAUAGCAAAUGCACAUUGUAUGUGGAUGGCCGGUAAUAGUGAAGUUUGCAGCCAUAUUGCAGCAAUCUUAUUUGCAGCUGAGUAUGCCCACAGCAAGACAGAAGAAGAAGAACCCAAUGCAUGUACAGAUGUUACAGCUAUGUACAUUCUCUGGUGAAAAACUAAUUAGUUUUCAAACUGUUCGUUCAGAGUGCUUGUUGCGCUCUCUAAACGAACUGAAAUGAUAAGAUGGCUUUGGCUUCAUGUUGCAGCGAUAUGAAAAUGGUUAGUCAUUUUUAAUUAUAAUGUACUUCUUCAUCAUGAGUAUUUAUGUAUAGGGCUUUUCAUUCACAGUCAUUUGUUUCGAGCUUCUGUCAUGUGUCACAUAAUAUUAAUAUAUCUACGUCAUACGUUAUUGGUAUAUACCAAUUUAUUUAUUUAUUUAUCGUAUGGCACCUGACACAUUUACAUUUACAUACACACCAAAGACAUAUGGCGUAGAUAUAUUAAUAUUAUGUGACACAUGACAGAUGCUCGAAACAAAUGACAGUCGAUAAAAAGCCCUAUUAGUCUUUUAAGUGUGUAUUAUCAGAUAUACAUGUAAAUUGUUUUUAUCAUUAUAAUUUGGUCAUUACAGUCCCUUAAUCAAAAAAUAUAUUUUUCAGGUGUCUGUGGAUCUUUUUGUAUGCAAAAAUUUGUAAUAAUUAUUUGAAAUCGUUUUGAGGAUUAUAAGAGUAUGGAAAUAUAUGUGAGAACACAGACUAUUAUA